rnacentral:lncRNA from 1 species
AGAAAGUUCGAAUGGGUUCUCCAUCCUGAGAUUAGACAACAGUUUUAUGUGUUCGAGCUCAGUACUUACUCGGUCAUUUUAGGCAAAGCACAGCUAGUAGAGAGGAACUUUCGCAUUUUCCUCAAGUAGUAGGGAACCUCAGGCCCUCAGUUUCACACCGCAAACCAGCACCUACUGCACCUGUUCAGCAGAACAAGAGGUCUAGGUCAAUGACUCAGGCUCCUCCUCAUAUUGUAAUAACAGGACGCGGUAGGACUUGCUAACACUGUGGCAAGGAUCAUGGGGACCGACUCUGCUAUCGCCUCAACAUUAUUUAUCGUAUAUGUGAGAGUGUCCAGCAUUAUAUGAGAGAGUACUUGAGAAAUCAGAAUCAGAUGUGAUCCAGGGUACGUACACUAUCUGUAAUCAUCUUGCACAUAUUUUGAUUGAUAUUGGUGUCUCACAUUUAUUUGUUUCACAUGCUUUUACACUAAACUUGAAUGUAUUACCUGAAAGACUUGAUUCUAUAUUGUUUGUGUCUACUCAUGGGAGUAGGACACUAUUGGGGGAGGUUAUAUACAAAGCCUGUAUCAUAAAUAUAGAAGAUAGGAAAUUGAGUGUGGACCUA